GAUGAACGCUGGCGGCGUGCCUAACACAUGCAAGUCGAACGGAGUCCAGCCUUUAAGACCUUCGGGUCAAAGAGGGGAAGACUGAGUGGCGGACGGGUGAGUAACACGUGGGCAACCUGGCUCAUAGAGGGGGAUAACAGAGAGAAAUUUCUGCUAAUACCGCAUAAGCACACACUGCCGCAUGGCAGAGGGUGAAAAGAGAAUCGCUAUGAGAUGGACCCGCGUCUGAUUAGCCAGUUGGCAGGGUAAGAGCCUACCAAAGCGACGAUCAGUAGCCGAUCUGAGAGGAUGAACGGCCACAUUGGGACUGAGACACGGCCCAAACUCCUACGGGAGGCAGCAGUGGGGGAUAUUGCACAAUGGGGGGAACCCUGAUGCAGCGACGCCGCGUGAGUGAAGAAGUAUUUCGGUAUGUAAAGCUCUAUCAGCAGGGAGGGUAAUGACAGUACCUGAAUAAGAAGCCCCGGCUAACUACGUG
rnacentral:rRNA from 1 species